rnacentral:rRNA from 1 species
ACGCUGGCGGCACGCCUAACACAUGCAAGUCGAACGAAGUAGCAAUACUUAGUGGCAGACGGGUGAGUAACAUGUAGGUAUCUACCCUUUGGCCUGGAAUAACACGAGGAAACUUGUGCUAAUACCGGAUAAGUCUUUACGGAGAAAGCUUUAUGCACCAUUGGAUGAGCCUGCACUUGAUUAGUUUGUUGGUAGGGUAAUGGCCUACCAAGACUUUGAUCAAUAGCUGAUUUGAGAGGAUGAUCAGCCACAUUGGGACUGAGACACGGCCCAAACUCCUACGGGAGGCAGCAGUGGGGAAUCUUGCACAAUGGAGGAAACUCUGAUGCAGCGAUGCCGCGUGAGUGAAGAAGGCCCUUGGGUUGUAAAGCUCUUUCGUCGGGGAAGAAAAUGACUGUACCCGAAUAAGAAGGUCCGGCUAACUUCGUGCCAGCAGCCGCGGUAAUACGAAGGGACCUAGCGUAGUUCGGAAUUACUGGGCUUAAAGAGUUCGUAGGUGGUUGAAAAAGUUGGUGGUGAAAUCCCAGAGCUUAACUCUGGAACUGCCAUCAAAACUUUUCAGCUAGAGUUUGAUAGAGGAAAGCAGAAUUUCUAGUGUAGAGGUGAAAUUCGUAGAUAUUAGAAAGAAUACCAAUUGCGAAGGCAGCUUUCUGGAUCAUUACUGACACUGAGGAACGAAAGCAUGGGUAGCGAAGAGGAUUAGAUACCCUCGUAGUCCAUGCCGUAAACGAUGUGUGUUAGACGUUGGAAAUUUAUUUUCAGUGUCGCAGCGAAAGCGAUAAACACACCGCCUGGGGAGUACGACC